CCUACGGGGGGCAGCAGUGGGGGAUAUUGCACAAUGGGGGAAACCCUGAUGCAGCAACGCCGCGUGAAGGAAGAAGGUCUUCGGAUUGUAAACUUCUGUCCUCAGGGAAGAUAAUGACGGUACCUGAGGAGGAAGCUCCGGCUAACUACGUGCCAGCAGCCGCGGUAAUACGUAGGGAGCGAGCGUUGUCCGGAUUUACUGGGUGUAAAGGGUGCGUAGGCGGAUCUGCAAGUCAGUAGUGAAAUCCCAGGGCUUAACCCUGGAACUGCUAUUGAAACUGUGGGUCUUGAGUGAGGUAGAGGCAGGCGGAAUUCCCGGUGUAGCGGUGAAAUGCGUAGAGAUCGGGAGGAACACCAGUGGCGAAGGCGGCCUGCUGGGCCUUAACUGACGCUGAGGCACGAAAGCAUGGGUAGCAAACAGGAUU
rnacentral:rRNA from 1 species